UACAGAGGUCUCAAGCGUUGUUCGGAUUCAUUGGGCGUAAAGGGUGCGUAGGUGGCGCUGUAAGUCGGGUGUGAAAUUUCGGAGCUUAACUCCGAAAACUGCAUUCGAUACUGCGGUGCUUGAGGACUGGAGAGGAGACUGGAAAUUCAUGGUGUAGCAGUGAAAAUGCGUAGAGAUCAUGAGGAAGACCCAGUGGCGAAAGGCGGGUCUCUGGA
rnacentral:rRNA from 1 species